UGGGGAAUAUUGGGCAAUGGGCGCAAGCCUGACCCAGCAACGCCGCGUGAGGGAAGAAGGUCUUCGGAUUGUAAACCUCUGUCCUUGGGGACGAAAAAAAUGACGGUACCCAAGGAGGAAGCUCCGGCUAACUACGUGCCAGCAGCCGCGGUAAUACGUAGGGAGCGAGCGUUGUCCGGAAUUACUGGGCGUAAAGGGUGCGUAGGCGGCAUGGCAAGUCAGAUGUGAAAUCCACGGGCUUAACUCGGGUGUUGCAUGUGAAACUGCUGUGCUUGAGUGCAGUAGAGGAAAGCGGAAUUCCUAGUGUAGCGGUGAAAUGCGUAGAUAUUAGGAAGAACACCAGUGGCGAAGGCGGCUUUCUGGACUGUAACUGACGCUGAGGCACGAAAGCGUGGGGAGCAAACA
rnacentral:rRNA from 1 species